CCUACGGGUGGCAGCAGUGAGGAAUAUUGGUCAAUGGCCGCAGGGCUGAUCCAGCCAAGUCGCGUGAGGGAAGACGGUUCUAUGGAUUGUAAACCUCUUUUGUCAGGGAGCAAAGGGCGCCACGUGUGGCGUUUUGCGAGUACCUGAAGAAAAAGCAUCGGCUAACUCUGUGCCAGCAGCCGCGGUAAUACGGAGGAUGCGAGCGUUAUCCGGAUUUAUUGGGUGUAAAGGGAGCGUAGGUGGAUUGUUAAGUCAGUUGUGAAAGUUUGCGGCUCAACCGUAGAAUUGCAGUUGAAACUGGCAGUCUUGAGUACAGUAGAGGUAGGCGGAAUUCGUGGUGUAGCGGUGAAAUGCUUAGAUAUCACGAAGAACUCCGAUUGCGAAGGCAGUUCACUGGACUGCAACUGACGCUGAGGCUCGAAAGUGUGGGUAUCAAACAGGAUUAGAUACCCCAGUAGUC
rnacentral:rRNA from 1 species